AGGUGUUGGGACUCUGCUGAUAUCCAGGUAUAGCAGUGGUAAGGUGUUGGGACUCUGCUGAUAUCCAGGUAUAGCAGUGGUAAGGUGUUGGGUCUCUGCUGAUAUCCAGGUAUAGCAGUGGUAAGGUGUUGGGACUCUGCUGAUAUCCAGGUAUAGCAGUGGUAAGGUGUUGGGUCUCUGCUGAUAUCCAGGUAUAGCAGUGGUAAGGUGUUGGGACUCUGCUGAUAUCCAGGUAUAACAGUGGUAAGGUGUUGGGACUCUGCUGAUAUCCAGGUAUAGCAGUGGUAAGGUGUUGGGUCUCUGCUGAUAUCCAGGUAUAGCAGUGGUAAGGUGUUGGGUCUCUGCUGAUAUCCAGGUAUAGCAGUGGUAAGGUGUUGGGACUCUGCUGAUAUCCAGGUAUAGUAGUGGUAAGGUGUUGGGACUCUGCUGAUAUCCAGGUAUAGCAGUGGUAAGGUGUUGGGACUCUGCUGAUAUCCAGGUAUAGCAGUGGUAAGGUGUUGGGACUCUGCU